rnacentral:piRNA from 1 species
UAGUGAUUAGGUUUGUCGA